CUAAAACGACUCUCGGCAACGGAUAUCUAGGCUCUUGCAUCGAUGAAGAACGUAGCGAAAUGCGAUACUUGGUGUGAAUUGCAGAAUCCCGUGAACCAUCGAGUCUUUGAACGCAAGUUGCGCCCGAAGCCUUCUGGCCGAGGGCACGUCUGCCUGGG
rnacentral:rRNA from 10 species